rnacentral:rRNA from 1 species
GAGUUUGAUCAUGGCUCAGAUUGAACGCUGGCGGCAUGCCUUACACAUGCAAGUCGAACGGCAGCAUGAUCUAGCUUGCUAGAUUGAUGGCGAGUGGCGAACGGGUGAGUAAUACAUCGGAACGUGCCCUGUAGUGGGGGAUAACUAGUCGAAAGAUUAGCUAAUACCGCAUACRACCUGAGGGUGAAAGUGGGGGACCGCAAGGCCUCAUGCUAUAGGAGCGGCCGAUGUCUGAUUASCUAGUUGGUGGGGUAAAGGCCCACCAAGGCGACSAUCAGUAGCUGGUCUGAGAGGACRAUCAGCCACUCUGGGACUGAGACACGGCCCAGACYCCUACGGGAGGYAGCAGUGGGGAAUUUUGGACAAUGGSCGAA